rnacentral:rRNA from 1 species
GUCUAUGACCAUACCACCCUAAAUGUGCCCAAUCUCAUCUGGUCUCAGAAGCUAAGCAGGGUCAGGCCUGUUAGUACUUGGAUGGGAAAAAGAUCUUCAAAAGAGACUGCUCAGAGAUAAGCAGUUUGGAGAUA